GGCUAGACAAUGUCUUCAAAAUAUGUAAAACUCUAAUAGCCUUCUCCACUUGCCAGAAAAGAAUGAGAUCUCUUAAUUUGUUCCAGCCCCAGUCAUCAGCCCAAAGAAUUACAGCUCCUGAGACUCAUCAUUUGCCAAUCCUGAGAGAUGUCCAGAUUUGAGACUACUCAUACCAGAACUCCAUUAUGCUGACAUGUGCCUGGCCUUCAAAAUGAAGGUGGAAGUGUGUAGUUUUCUCUGCUGUGUUAAAUGCCCUAGUCAGGGCUUACAUAUAAGAACUAUCUGAGAAUGAUAGUGCAACAAAACAAGAAAAUAUAUCUUCAAUUCAUAUUGUUAUUAGAUAAACAUCCUUGCUUACUUUAAAAAUCAUUUCCAGGACAAAGUAGCCCUUGAGAGUCUUGACAGUCUGUGCCUCAACCACAAUCUAUUGUAACCCAGCCUGAUAAUUUCAGCAAAUGAAUCUUAGAUGCAAAUGUACCAGUAAUGCUUUUAGUCUACAAUUUAUUUCUGACAUUAUUGUCUACCCUAGAGCUGUUUAAAUUAUUUAAACUAGAAAAAUAGUGAUGGGUUUGAAAAUGAAAACUAAAUAAUCAAACAUGGCCAUCAAAAUACUCCCAGGUAAUCACUGGAUUCCUAAAGCAAAGAUAAUUGGUAAAAUCAGAUUUUGUUUGAAGUCCAUGUCAUCGUGAGCUACUUGGUCAUGCCUACAGUAAAGAUUCAAACAUUAUUGGUAAGAGAAGUUUUGAUGUGCCCAACUUUUACUCUCACCUUUUUCUCACCCAAACCUGAACUGAAAUUUUAAAAAUAAAAACAAUAAUAAAUCAAUUGCUUCUGGGCCACCAGCAUUGCCCAACCUUCAGCAAUGUAUUACUGAAGCAUUGACUAUAUAAAAGAUGUAUGUUAGGGGCAGCCUGGACAUGAUGGAUAAGACAAAGAUGAAUAAGAAAAACACUUUUUUUCCUCCAAGAAAAAUAUCAUUCAAUGGAAGAGAAAGGCUCCAUACAUAAUAAAUGUAAUACUGUGUCUGGAAUUGGUGGGUUCUUGAUCUCACUGACUUCAAGAAUGAAGCUGCGGACCCUUGUGGUGAGUGUUACAGUUCUUAAAGAUGGU
rnacentral:lncRNA from 1 species